AAUUAUUUCUGCCCAGUGUAUAUAAUAUUAACGGCCGCAGUACUUUGACUGUGCUAAGGUAGCAUAAUCAAUUGGCUUUUAAUUUGAGUCUGGAAUGAAAGGAUUUAUGGGGAUUUACUGUUUCAAAUGUAUAAUAUUGAAUUUAUUAAAAAAGUGAAAAUACUUUUGUUUUUAAAAAAGACGAGAAGACCCUAAGAAUUUUUAGAAUAUAUUUAUACAAUUAUUUCUUUUUGUUGGGGCGACAAUUAAACAAUUAAACUUUAAUUAUUUUUUAAUCGGUUUUUUCAGUAAAAAAUAAAUUACCUUAGGGAUAACAGCAUAAUUUAAAAAA
rnacentral:rRNA from 5 species